rnacentral:rRNA from 1 species
AGAGUUUGAUUCAUGGCUCAGGAUGAACGCUAGCUACAGGCUUAACACAUGCAAGUCGCGGGGCAGCAUGUUGGUUGCUUGCAACCGAUGAUGGCGACCGGCGCACGGGUGAGUAACGCGUAUCCAACCUACCUAUUACCACGGGAUAACCCGGCGAAAGUCGGACUAAUACCGUAUGUGGUCUUCGAUUGGCAUCAGCAGUAGACUAAAGGUUUGGCGGUAAUAGAUGGGGAUGCGUCCGAUUAGUUAGUUGGCGGGGUAACGGCCCACCAAGACGUCGAUCGGUAGGGGUUCUGAGAGGAAGGUCCCCCACACUGGAACUGAGACACGGUCCAGACUCCUACGGGAGGCAGCAGUGAGGAAUAUUGGUCAAUGGGCGUAAGCCUGAACCAGCCAAGUAGCGUGCAGGACGACGGCCCUAUGGGUUGUAAACUGCUUUUAUGCAAGAAUAAAUUAGCCUACGUGUGGGUUAUUGCAGGUAUUGCAUGAAUAAGGACCGGCUAAUUCCGUGCCAGCAGCCGCGGU